rnacentral:lncRNA from 1 species
UCGGAUCACAAAGCACAGAAAACGAGAUAAAGUUUUCUGUGCUUUAACAGUUAUAACGAGGAACAUAUAGAUGGUCGUUGGCCUAUACAAGAAACACUUAAAACGACGCUCAUCACAAACGUUUAGAAGAAAUUUAAAAAAAUUGUUGAAUAAACGACGGUCCACUAAGUCAUUUAAACAACUUUACAAGCUAAAACAUAAAGUGACACAAAUAGCUACAGUAUUACAAACUCUAAACAUUUGAAAACAACCAUACGACACCGUUCAACACUUACUUGAAUCCUUCUUCAACCUUCUAGCCUUUGGUUUUCUUCCCGCUUCCAUUUGAGACUCGAUGUCCAAAUUUGAAGGUCACUCUUUUAACGUCCCAAUUCCAAAUCUUUUGUUUUUUUCCAUACUUUUGUUAUCCAAGAAAACAGGUAAGCAACCUGUUAUACAAGAGCAUAACAAGCUGUUAAUGAGCUCAUCUGGUGCUCUCCGCAUACCCUUAUAUGUAGUCUACCAUUCCUUUCCGUCCAAAUUUUGUGUAGACACAAGCACUCCAAGAUAGUCUUCCCCUUUAAUCUGUGCUUAACACAAGCAAAUUCAUUAUUCCAGUCUCCAAUGUCUCUAGUCAAGCAACAAAGCUGCAUGACCGUCUCCCAAAGGGGCCAAGAGAAAAAUAAGUGGGCUCUUUGUCUCCUCAGUAUUACCACAAAAUGAACACAGGCAGCAUUAGUCAAACACCAGGACUUGAUCCUUCCUUUGGUUGGAAGCCUGUCAAGGACAGCCAUCCAAGCAAUGAGGACAUGCUUUUAUUAGGAUUUGAACCAGGCUAAGAUUUCAUUGACAGAUUUCACUCAAGCUACCCAAUCUUUGGCAAAGCAAGAGGUAGACAGACAAGGCAGCAGGGUGUCACUCAGCAUGCCACGAUGUCAUAGUUGGAACAGAAAAGUCUAAGUUAUCUGAAGUUCCGGGACACACAAGUUUUCUCUCAAUUCAAUCAUAACUAUGUAACAGUCAACACGAUAUUAAAACUUAUCACGUUAACCUGCAGUGAUAAUUUCUGAACCAUUUGCCUCGCC